AGCAGCUUGGCCUAGUGGAAAGAGCACAGGACUAGGAGUCAGAGGACCUGGGUUCUAAUCCCAGAUCUGCCA
rfam:Ornithorhynchus anatinus chromosome 2, whole genome shotgun sequence.